rnacentral:rRNA from 1 species
GAUGAACGCUGGCGGCGUGCCUAAUACAUGCAAGUCGAGCGAACUGAUUAGAAGCUUGCUUCUAUGACGUUAGCGGCGGACGGGUGAGUAACACGUGGGCAACCUGCCUGUAAGACUGGGAUAACUUCGGGAAACCGAAGCUAAUACCGGAUAGGAUCUUCUCCUUCAUGGGAGAUGAUUGAAAGAUGGUUUCGGCUAUCACUUACAGAUGGGCCCGCGGUGCAUUAGCUAGUUGGUGAGGUAACGGCUCACCAAGGCAACGAUGCAUAGCCGACCUGAGAGGGUGAUCGGCCACACUGGGACUGAGACACGGCCCAGACUCCUACGGGAGGCAGCAGUAGGGAAUCUUCCGCAAUGGACGAAAGUCUGACGGAGCAACGCCGCGUGAGUGAUGAAGGCUUUCGGGUCGUAAAACUCUGUUGUUAGGGAAGAACAAGUACAAGAGUAACUGCUUGUACCUUGACGGUACCUAACCAGAAAGCCACGGCUAACUACGUGCCAGCCGCCGCAGUAA